GUAAUGCGUGAACCAACCUCGCCCCAUGCUCCAAGAAUAGCUCUUAGGGAAACGGGUGGUAAUGCUGGAUGCCUACCAACUUGACGUAUGUCUUGUUGGGAAAGUGUUUAGUGGCAUGGGAUGGGGUCGCGUCCUAUCAGCUUGUAGGCGGGGUAAUGGCCCACCUAGGCUUCGACGGGUAGCCGGCCUGAGAGGGCGGACGGCCACAUUGGGACUGAGAUACGGCCCAGACUCCUACGGGAGGCAGCAGCC
rnacentral:rRNA from 1 species